rnacentral:miRNA from 17 species
GCUGGGAAUGCAAAGGGAUGU